UACGGUCUGCACCUGUACUUCACUUCCACUCCAGCCUCCGCCGCCGCAUCAGUGAGCGAGGAGAGCGAGAUGACGGCCCGCCUCCGCCGCUCGCCGGCGGCGUCCCCGCUGGACGACGACGACCUGCUCUGCGAGAUCCUCCUACGCCUCCCCCCGCAGCCCUCCUCCCUCCCGCGCGCCUCCCUCGUCUGCAAGCGCUGGCGCCGCCUCGUCUCCGACACCGGAUUCUCCCGCCGCUUCCGCCUCCGCCACCGCCGCAACCCUCCUCUCCUCGGCUUCUUCGACAGGGACCUCUCCUUCUCACCUACUCUGGAGGCCCCCAACCGUGUCCCUCCCGGCCGCUUCUCCUUGCAGCGCGACGACGACGACGACGACCGCUUUGUGCCCCUUGGAUGCCGCCAUGGCCUCGUGCUCAUCUACAUUCCUGCGCGUCUUCAGAUCCUGGUGUGGGACCCCGUCACCGCCGACCAGCACUACAUCGCCAUUCCCCCUGCGGUUGCGGCAUGCCCGGGGAAGGCUCGGAUCAACGGGGCGGUGUUUCGCGCUGCGGGAGACGUCCAGCACUUCCAGGUGGUCUCGGUAAUGGCAUAUGGUGAUGACCAUCAACAUAGACGAGCGCUCGCCUGCGUUUACUCGUCGAAGACCGGCUUAUGGGGAGAUCCCAUCUCAACACCCCUUCCAUACCGGGCAGUCCAGGCUGAUGCAAUCAGUGUUCCUACUCUCGUUUUUGCGGAUGACGCUGUGCUGGCUGGAGAUUCCCUUCACUGGCUGCUUGCUGGGAAUUUCAAUGGCAUUCUCGAGUUCGAUUUGGAGAAGCAGAGGCUAGCUGUGAUACGGCUGCCAGAGGAGGUCAACUGCUUGAAGCUUGUGCGGGCAGAGGGUGGUGGGCUUGGUCUCCUCGGGAGGUCAGUCACAAACUGCAUGACCCAGUUAUGGAAGAGGGAGUCCAAUUGUGAUGGUGUUGCUCCAUGGGUGCUAGGAAGGACUAUUGAUCUGGACAGGAUACUUUCCGUGAAACCAGAGCUGAAAGGGACCUUUGCAGGGGCCACUGCAAUAUUAGGGCUUGCAGAAGACAAUAAUUUGUUGUUGCUUUGGACAAUUACCGGCCUCGUCGUGAUCCAUCUUGAGUCGUUGAAGUUCAAGAAGCUUUUCAGAACUAAUACGUUUUUUCAGUAUCAUGCUUUCGAAGGUGUCUACACUGCUGCAGCUGCAGUCCCAUUUUUUUCACUGAUGUGAUGCACAACAGUUGGAACUUGGAAGUCGACUACAUGAAAAACCACCUAUAUUUCUUUCAUUCAGUUUGAACCAGCUAGAAACUGACAUCGCUGGUGGACAUGAUGGAGCUAAUCUUUGGCACAGUACAUAAGAUGAUUGACCAGUUAUAUGUGAUAUGUGAUGUACUGGUUGAGUGGGAAUCUACAGUUACAUUCUGUUGGCUUGGAUGCAGAAAUGGGUUGUCAAGUGCAGUUUAUUCCACAUUUAUGCUUGGCGCCGAGAUUGAACCCAUAUGUAGCAUGCACACUCUUCAGCUCUGAAGUGAACUUGUAGGAAUCCGUCGCUUGAUUUGCUCAUUCCCGUAGACAUUCAUCAACUGGCAGUCUGGCAUGAAGGUGCAUUGGCCUGCUUCGAUUAACUUGUGGUUCGCUUAAUUUGCCUUGUGAGGCAAGCAUGGCGUCGCAUUUUGUGUGUGUUUUGCUGAAUUUCUACCUGCUGGUUCCGAGCUCAGUAUUUAGAAGCUCAUUUUGUGUGUGUUUUGCUGAAUUUCUGCCUGCUGGUUCCGAGCUCAGUUCGCUUAGUUCUGACUACUGAAUGUUGAACAGCAUCAGUUUGACCUGGGAUUUGGAAGAUGUUCCUAUAUGUUGAA